rnacentral:rRNA from 1 species
CACGUGGGGAACCGUGCCCCACUAGUCUGGGAUACCACUUGGAAACAGGUGCUAAUACCGGAUAAGAAAGCGGAUCGCAUGAUCAGCNUUUUUUAAAAAGGCGGCGUAAGCUGUCGCUAUGGGAUGGCCCCGCGGUGCAUUAGCUAGUUGGUAAGGUAAAGGCUUACCAAGGCGAUGAUGCAUAGCCGAGUUGAGAGACUGAUCGGCCACAUUGGGACUGAGACACGGCCCAAACUCCUACGGGAGGCAGCAGCC